AUUGAACGCUGGCGGCAUGCUUUACACAUGCAAGUCGAACGGCAGCACGGGGGCAACCCUGGUGGCGAGUGGCGAACGUGUGAGUAACACGUCGGAACGUGCCCAGUUGUGGGGGAUAACCUAUCGAAAGGUAGGCUAAUACCGCAUGAGCUCGGAAGAGGAAAGCGGGGGACCGGUAACGGCCUCGCGCGACUGGAGCGGCCGAUGGCCGAUUAGCUAGUUGGGGGGGUAAAGGCCCACCAAGGCGACGAUCGGUAGCUGGUCUGAGAGGAUGAUCAGCCACACUGGGACUGGGACACGGCCCAGACGCCUACGGGAGGCAGCAGUGGGGAAUUUUGGACAAUGGGGGCAACCCUGAUCCAGCCAUGCCGCGUGAGUGAAGAAGGCCUGCGGGUUGUAAAGCUCUUUCGGUGGGAACGAAACGGUGUCGGUGAAUAUCCGGCAUCAAUGACGGUACCCACAGAAGAAGCACCGGCUAACUACGUGCCAGCAGCCGCCGCCGUAA
rnacentral:rRNA from 1 species